AGCAGGGAAGGAGAGAUGGCAGCGAGGAGGAUCCGGGCUCUAUGUGUUUGCCAAGCAAGCUGGAAGGAACCAAGUUCGGGCUGUUUAAAUCUCUUCCUUCUGUUUCUUUGACAUCUCUGUUCUGCUCUCGCUCCGCUAGCCGGUCUGUGCCAGACUCGGAGGUCCUGAGGAGGAGAGAAGACACGAGUUCAGCAUGGUAGGAAACAGAUUGAAGCGCUCCUAACUUAAAAACUUUGCAAAUGCUGGCUGUGAACGCUGCUUAUUUCCUCAUCAAGCCUGUGCAGAAAUGAAGCAUGUCGUGGCAGAUGGCUCAGGUUCAAGUAGUGGGUAGCUUAUGCUGACUGUCACCUUUCAGUGCACGGUGAGCAGUUCAGCGUAAGGAAACAUCACCGAUGCCAUUAUCUCUGCUGCCAGUCCUGCCUGGUAAACCUGCUCCUUCCAGGAUGGCCGAGCCCAGGGUGCAAACCACAUCCCUCAGCAGCUGUGCAGAGCUUGCACUCAAUAGCCACGUUCCAGGUUCUCAGAACACCCACGGCUGCUUAAAAACCAUGGAGUGAAGAGAUGCCACGCGAGCAGUACUGGGGAGCUGUGUGUGUUCCUGGUUUUCGGAGCGCUGUAGCUUUGCUGUUCUUCAAGUGCAGUGUAGAGGAUGCAAGGCUUGCUGAAAUGAAGCUGUUUCUGUGGAGGAAUACCGCAGCUGAAGGAAUGACGUGGAAAACCCUUCCCAAAGACCAGAGGUGGAGAUGCUCACCUGGAUGGGAGGGGAGGAUGUUGGCAGUAGGAGCGGAGUGGAGCCAAGGAGGAGGGAUGCUGAAAUGCAGGCAAGGAAAAGCUCUGGACAGCACAUUGCUCCCUCCAUGGGGACAGAUUGUCUGGAGGCUGGAUGGAGCACAGGCUUGGCAGGAGGAAGCCUAUUGCUGGGACGUGCUGCCAGUACAGUGGCAGAAGAGUCUGCUGAGAACGUGUGAUCUGCAGCACGCCACGGACCCUCCGCUGCAGGGUGAGCCCCCAGCGUGGCACAGCACAGGCUCUGCAGAAUCCCAGGGGAUCAGCUUGGAGCUGCUUCUCACGGGGGUAGUGAGGC
rnacentral:lncRNA from 1 species